rnacentral:lncRNA from 1 species
AUGAAAUAUUGAUAGAACAUACAACAAAAAUUAGUUCAAAAUAGGGAUAAGUUUCUUACUUUAUCUAAAUAUAACACGUCUUGCAUUUUUAGAGACAGAUGUAUUUAUCAAGUUUGUGUAAUCUAACUGAUCAACCAAUUUUCUUUCAAUUGAUAACAUAGCCAACCCAUUCAACAUGUCUUGCGACAUAGUUGAUCGUAGAUAAAUUUUUUGAUUCACUUUUUUUUAGAAUGUCUUUUCAGUUACUGCAUUUAUUUUUGAAAUACUAUUUGACAAAAAUAAUUUUUAUAUAUACUAUAUAAAAAAAAUAAUUGGGCCCUCAAAAAUUUGGGGCCCUAUGCGGCAGCAUGUUGAGCAUGCCCUCAGGUACGGGCCUGUUGAAAAAUAUAUAAGUGGUCAAUUAUACUGUUUAGGGUUAAUUGCCGCUAAAUUCAAAAGCUUUUAAAAAAUUCGCGGUAUUCUCACCAACUUCAAAAUCGGCAUAUAAAUACAUGAAUUGAAAAUCCGUUCUUAAUGUUCCCAAAAUUAUUAACUCCGGCGAGAUGAGGUGGCAAUCACUGAUUAUGUGUCAAAUACAUGGCAAUUAGGUAUUACAUGUCAUUUUUUUAUUUUUUAAUAUUCUUAUUUUAUUAAAAUAUAAUACUUUAUUAAUAAAUUAAUUUACNUUAACUGAUCAACCAAUUUUCUUUCAAUUGAUAACAUAGCCAACCCAUUCAACAUGUCUUGCGACAUAGUUGAUCGUAGAUAAAUUUUUUGAUUCACUUUUUUUUAGAAUGUCUUUUCAGUUACUGCAUUUAUUUUUGGAAUACUAUUUGACAAAAAUAAUUUUUAUAUAUACUAUAUAAAAAAAAAAAUUGGGCCCCCAAAAAUUUGGGACCCUAUGCGGCAGCAUGCCCUCAGGUACGGGCCUGAUUGUAUGAGUACUAUUUAAUACAAGAUGCCUCCUAAAUAUAUACUCUCUUAAUUCCAUAAGAAUGUGCAUGAUUGUUGGUGGCAUGGAUUUUAAUAAAUAUUAGGUGAGUGUGUUGUUAGUGGAAGAAGGAACCCGCUUUUAUUAGUGAAAAAAUAGUCCGAAAAAGAAAAAUGCACACUUUUGUGGGACGUCCCAAAAUAAAAACGAGUGCACACUCUUAUGAAACGGAAAGAGUAUAUGUCUAUGCUCAAAAGAGAAAAAAGUUAAAUUAUAAGGGCCUAUUUUUAAAUUUUUGUUUAGGGCCCCGUUAAACACAGGUACUG